UUGUAAAAGUAAGAACGUGUAACUAAUAUUUUUUCUGAUAAGUUACAGGAUUCACAAACUACUGCAGUUAGUGAACAGAUGGUGGAACUACAGAUAGCUCCUUCAUCAGCCUGCAGUAACUGUCAAUCAAAUCAACAGAUAGAUGAGAGAGAACCAUCAACUAGAUCUGAUAGUGAGAUGGCCUCAAGCUCUACAAAGACUGAUGAACAACAAGAGGAAGAUGGCUGGGAGGUUGUUAGGCGAUCAAAAAAGAAGCAUUAAUUCUGAAAAUAAAUUUUACAUUAUGCAUGCCA